UCGGUGCUCGGGCGGGGGGCGCCGCCGCUCCGGCCCACGCGCGCGGUUCGCUGGCUCGCUGGCCGUGUGCCCGCCCGCCCGCCAGCAGCCUGGGGGUUCGGUCCCGGGCCCUCUCAGACCCCGCGGUCUCCGACUCUCGGGCCCCGGUGUCCGUAUUUAUAGACUGAGGAUGCAGCCCUUGAUUUAAAUGCAUACCCGAGGGUGCGUAAGAACCCAGGCGUGAACAUCAAACGUGUGGCCAGACUAAUUGACACAUCUCCAUUUGAUGGUGCUGUCACUUUUCAUCUCUUUCUUAGCAAAGACCAACAUAAAUUUUUACUUCGGCCCAGAAACGUGCUCCGUUUUCCAUGAAGACCAAGGAAGAAGAGAAUGAUGUCUCCUUCAUCUCAACCUAUAAGGCUCUCUUCAAAUGAUAUUUUCUCCACAGACCCUCCCUGACUUCCACUGUGUGAACACUGAGUGUUUCCCCAUCUCACAAGCUGCUCCUUGUUGGUAUCCCUGGCUGGCAUCUCUUCCCUUCCUCUAAGAGGUGGUGUUCCCGAGACCUCCAUGUCCGGCCUCUUCUCUUCUCAAACUACAAACCCUCAGGGGUGAUUCGUCUACCAUCUUGGCUUCAACCUGCACUUACAUCCCACUGAUGACCCGUAAAUGCAUGCCUUUGCUUCAGACAGUUCAGCUGCCUUCAGUUCCAUACUUCUCAGAUAUAAAUAGGUGGAUAUCCCACAAUCAUUUCAAAUAUCAAAGCAGAACCCACCAUUCCUACCCU